rnacentral:rRNA from 1 species
AUGUUAGUGCACGUCCCAGGUUUGGGGCAAGAUGGCACGAAGCCCGAGGGCGCCGGCUCUGGCCCAGAGGGUGGCCUCGUCUUUGAUCUUCGUGAGCAGGUCGGUCGUCGAGGGCUGGCCUCUGUUGAAGACGCAGUCGUUGCGGUGCUUCCAUAUCAUCCAUGGGACGAGGAGGGUCGCGGAGGCGAGGCCCUUGCGCAUGAGUGUUGGGGUGGCAUGUCGCGCCGUGCGCCACCAGUCGUUGAGAGAGAGCUCUCUGUCGGGCGGGGCGCAGGGGAGCCUGAGCCAGUGCAGAACCUCAUGCCAAAUCUGUCUGGUGAAGGGGCAGGCGAGGGUGAGGUGGUGCAUGGUCUCGGGGGCCUGAUCACAAAGGAGGCAGCGUGCGGGGUGCUGCAGGCUGCGGCGGGCGAGGCGGUCGGCAGUCCAGCAUCGGUCCAGGCGGGCGAGCCAGUGGAAGAAGCGGACGCGCGGUGGCGCCCAAUUCUUCCAGGUGAGCUUUCAUGCAUCGCAGCCCAAGGAGCCGUUGAAAGUGGCGAGGUAGGCUGA